GACGAACGCUGGUGGCGUGCUUAACACAUGCAAGUCGAACGAUGAAGCUGGAGCUUGCUCCGGUGGAUUAGUGGCGAACGGGUGAGUAACACGUCAGCAAUCUGCCCUUGACUCUGGGAUAACUGCGGGAAACUGUAGCUAAUACCGGAUACUUUCACUGGAAGGCAUCUUCUGGUGAAGAAAGAAUUUCGGUCAAGGAUGAGCUCGCGGCCUAUCAGCUUGUGGGUGAGGUAACGGCUCACCAAGGCGACGACGGGUAGCCGACCUGAGAGGGUGACCGGCCACACUGGGACUGAGACACGGCCCAGACUCCUACGGGAGGCAGCAGUGGGGAAUAUUGCACAAUGGGCGCAAGCCUGAUGCAGCAACGCCGCGUGAGGGAUGAAGGCCUUCGGGUUGUAAACCUCUUUUAGCAGGGAAGAAGCGAAAGUGACGGUACCUGCAGAAAAAGCACCGGCUAACUACGUGCCAGCAGCCGCCGUAA
rnacentral:rRNA from 1 species